GUGCCAGGUGCUUUGCCUGGAGUUGACCACCUUCCAUCCUUUCCACAACCUGUAAGGAAGGUGGAAUUAUCCCCAUUUCUCAGAUGAGCAACGGCCCUGCCCAGAACUCUUGACUUGCCCGAGGUCAUAUGGCUUGGUAGCUAUAGAGCUGGGAUUUGAGCCCAGGUCUCCGGACGGAGCUCUCCGACCGAGCUAAAAGAAAGGAAACUCCUUAGAACUAGGUAAAGAAACACACAGGAGAACUAAAGACCAUAGGAUAAAGGCUACGGGCAAAGCAUUUGGGAAUUAACAGAAAAAAAAAAAAAAGAGUUCGUGAAAUCUCCCGUCACUUAAUUUCAAAUCUAAGACCGCAUUUACACUGCCUUCUACGUCUGGCUCUGGGGGCGAGGUGUUGGGAGGUGGAGAGAAGACUGCGCCAGGGCUGGGCAGAGGCGGCUGGGGACACCUUCUCAGCGGAUCCGCCUGCUGGGAGUGGGGGUGGGGUGGGGUGAGGAGAAGUUGUGGAGGGAACUCAGUUGUUAUUCAUCGCCAAUGUUAGUCAUCCCUUCACCUCACCCCAACCCGUGGAUUCUAUUUCCUUCCUUUACUCCGUGUUUUGUCCAAGAUGACAGUGGUCAAAUUGAAGCUGGUCCUACUACCAUCACUAUGUUUCACCACGGGUCUUGGCAUCCGGUGGUCCUGUGCUUCCGUGACUGUGUUAGGAGCUGUGAGAGAUACUCAAAAUUCUCCGAGGAGAGCACAGGUGCGGCGCAGGUUAAAUGCUCUCUAGGUAACUACGUAACAAGGAAUCUGGAAACUCUGCCCUUGGGGGAAGCUGAGGGCAGAGAACACAAGGGCACCCAAACAGACAUACAAAUAAAAAUGUCACAAACCGAAGGCAAAUCUCUAUGGUGACCAGAGUGAGAUCGUGUAUUAAUUAAAGUUACCAGCACGAAAUAAUUUAAAAUGUCACCUGGUGUCUCCUCUUUGUGUGAAUUAUUAACCUCACCUACCCCCCUCCAUGGAAGCCCCAGGAGCCAACUGCCAGAAACGCCUUACAUUCUGCGUGUCCCCGCUCACGACCAACUGCUACUUGUCUCUUGACCUUGGCACAGCCAUCACCUUCGUGGCAGAGCUUCUGACGUCCUCCAGGGGAUCUGCACCCCUCCGCAUCUCUUUGGAACUUGUGACAAAUGGUGUGUAAGCAAGGGCUGACCUGUCACCCCCCAGAGACCACACGCUUCCAGAGGACAGGCACAGGACAGGCACUGUGUCUACUCAUCUUGGAAUGCCCCCCCAGACUAGUGGAGCAUUUUUCCUAAGAGCUGACUCCGCACCCACGAGCUAGGCACCUUUGAGCACCAUUGUUGGUCUGGUUGGAGGAGCCAUGGUCUAUGCCACAGUGGCCUGGUUUUUGGAAUGUCUCCUCUGGGAAUGGGUUGGGUGAAGCUGGUUGUUCAAUGUAGUUCAGAUGUUGUGUUGAUUUUGGAUUGGCUGUAACCAGAAUCCAUGCCCCCCCAGAUACUCACGUGCUCCCCUUCUUUAGCAGAUGCUAUCAGCCCUGGCUUUAGUUCUUGUUCUUAACGGUUC
ensembl:lncRNA